GUAAAAAGUUACUCUUUUCCAGAUUUAUCAAUAUUCAAAAAAGGCAGAGGUUUUUGAAACUUUCCAGUUUAUUGAGGCCUAUGGUAUAGUGGAUCAGGCCAGCUUUACCAUUGAUAGUACUCUGUAUUUAUUGUUACUCUCAGAGAUAUCCAGAGCACUCUAUGUUUAUGAGUACAUCCCAAUUGAGGGAUUUCGUCUGUACCAGGAGGUACCAAUUGAAGAUGGUGUGAGUCUGGAAGUAAUUGAUAUAAAAGAUAAGAAGUUUAUUGUAAUAUCAACAAAAUCCCUGGAUGGUUUAAUUACGCUUGCUGUAAAAACAAAGGGACUUGACCCUAAAAGGCUUAGUUACCCAUAGUAAUAUUGCACUACUUUAGUAAUUUUAAAAUUGUAUAAUAUGCAAAGUAUUUUUUUUAUUCUUAAUAUAUUUAAUUUUACUUU